GCAAACACACAAUACGUUCUCUUUACCCCAGUUAACGGAUGUAACAGUUUCCUAAAAUAUGGAGACUAAACACAGUGCGAGAAAGUUUCUUUGAUUGAACAAAUCAUAUGAAUAUUUAAUGAGAGAGUGUGGGGAUCUCUGGGCCCUGGUUGUGGUGGCAAGCCAGCGUCUACUCCAUCAACCCUUAUUACGCCUCCACAAUCCCAUAAUAGCCCCCGGUUUAUGUUUAGCCCUCUCCUGCAACACCUACUCUUCCGCCGAGAUAAAGAGAGAUGGAGAGGCGGUGAAAGACAGAGAG